GGGCCCGCACAAGCGGUGGAGUAUGUGGUUUAAUUCGAUGCAACGCGAAGAACCUUACCAGGGUUUGACAUCCUGCGAAUCUCUUGGAAACGAGAGAGUGCCUUCGGGAACGCAGUGACAGGUGGUGCAUGGCUGUCGUCAGCUCGUGUCGUGAGAUGUUGGGUUAAGUCCCGCAACGAGCGCAACCCACGUCUUUAGUUGCCAGCAUUUAGUUGGGCACUCUAGAGAGACUGCCGGUGCAAACCGUGAGGAAGGUGGGGAUGACGUCAAAUCAUCACGGCCCUUACGUCCUGGGCUACACACGUGCUACAAUGGCCGGUACAGAGAGCAGCCACUACGCGAGUAGGAGCG
rnacentral:rRNA from 1 species